AGAAGCUAUAUUGCUUAAUUUGAAAUCUUAGAUAAGAAAUCAAUAAUAAUAAUCUUUAGAAAACUAAUGAUGAAUCCUAUUUUGAAAAAACAGUAUAAUCAAUCUAUUUUCUUUAUUAUUAUUUUUUAUCUCUUUUUAUCUUAUUCUAAUUUAUUUCUUUCUUUAUUUUAAUUUUUUAUGUAAUAUUUUGUCUCUUUUAUUUAUCUUUAUUUUCU
rnacentral:lncRNA from 1 species